AGAGUUUGAUCCUGGCUCAGGAUGAACGCUAGCGGCAGGCUUAAUACAUGCAAGUCGAGGGGCAGCAGGGGCGUAGCAAUACGUCUGCUGGCGACCGGCAAACGGGUGCGGAACACGUACGCAACUUACCCAGAACUGGGGGAUAGCCCGGGGAAACCCGGAUUAACACCCCAUAAGAUAGUAGAGUGGCAUCACUUAGCUAUUAAAACUCCGGUGGUUUUGGAUGGGCGUGCGGCUGAUUAGGUAGUUGGUAGGGUAAUGGCCUACCAAGCCUGCGAUCAGUAACUGGUGUGAGAGCACGACCAGUCACACGGGCACUGAGACACGGGCCCGACUCCUACGGGAGGCAGCAGUAAGGAAUAUUGGUCAAUGGAGGCAACUCUGAACCAGCCAUGCCGCGUGGAGGAUGAAGGCCCUCUGGGUUGUAAACUUCUUUUAUGGGGGACGAAACCCUGGUAUUCUUACCAGAUUGACGGUACCCCAGGAAUAAGCACCGGCUAACUCCGUGCCAGCAGCCGCGGUAAUACGGAGGGUGCAAGCGUUAUCCGGAUUCACUGGGUUUAAAGGGUGCGUAGGCGGGCGUGUAAGUCAGUGGUGAAAUCUUCGAGCUUAACUCGGAAACUGCCGUUGAUACUAUAUGUCUUGAAUAUUGUGGAGGUGAGCGGAAUAUGUCAUGUAGCGGUGAAAUGCUUAGAUAUGACAUAGAACACCAAUUGCGAAGGCAGCUUGCUACACAAUCAUUGACGCUGAGGCACGAAAGCGUGGGGAUCAAACAGGAUUAGAUACCCUAGUAGUCC
rnacentral:rRNA from 1 species